AUUCUUUAAAAAAAAAAAACUUGGUCAACUGGAUGUGAAUGAUGGAACAGAGUGAGGAGACAAAAUCUCUCUCAGGACUCUAAAUUGGUAACCUGAAGGAUUGGGAGUGCUGAGGAAGAGACCAUAAGCUAAAGGAAAGAGUAGGAUAGCAAGACCAGAAAACAGAUUGGUUUCUGACAUCCUGAAAAUAAGCCAUCUCAUUAGAGAUGGCCACUUGACAGUGGGGCUCAGAGGUUUGACACUCAAAGAGAGAACAGGAUUUGAAAUGCUUGUUGGGAAUUAUUAGCAUACAGGAGGUAAUUAAAACCAUGGGAGUGAGAUCCCCAAGCAGAAAAGUGUAAAAAGUAUAGAAAACAGCAGAAGUUGGAACCAUGGGAGGAACCCAGCUAUGCCACUCCCUGGCAGAUGGCAGAUCCAUAAAGUGCCCUGAGAAAGAGUGAUAGGAAUAAAACUGAUGUAUUCAAGUGAAGGAGGGAAAUUGUCUCAAAAGGAGGAAGUAAUCAUCUGUUGGAAAAGACCUAAAACUAGGACUGGGGCUGCAGCUCAGUGGCAGAGCACUAGCCUAAUACAUGUGACGUAUUGGGUUUGAUCCUCAGCACCACAUAAAAAUAAAUGAAUAAAAUAAAGGCAUUUUGUCCAUGUACAACUAAAAAAAAAAAA
rnacentral:lncRNA from 1 species